rnacentral:rRNA from 1 species
UUGGUCAAUGGUCUAACGACUGAACCAGUAACUUGGAAGAAUGUAAAUGUAUUAUAAUUAAUACAAUAACGAUUAAUUCGUAUAAAAUUCUAAAUAGGAUAAUGAUAAUGACAAUUUCCUAUUUAUAAGUCUUGACCAAAUUACGUGCCAGCAGUCGCGGUAAUACGUAGAAGACUAGUGUUAGUCAUCUUUAUUAGGUUUAAAGGGUACCUAGACGGUAAAUAACACUUGAGUAGAGUACUUAUUUACUAGAGUUUUAUGUGAGAAGGAAGAACUUCUGGAGUAGUGAUAGAAUACGCUGAUACCAGAGGGACUGGUAACGGCGAAGGCAUCCUUCUAUGUAAAAACUGACGUUGAGGGACGAAGGCUUGGGUAGCAAGAAGGAUUAGAUACCCUAGUAGUCCAAGCAGAAAAUGAUGAAUGUCAUAGACUAGAUAAAAAUUUAGUCUAUAAAUGAAAGUGUAAGCAUUCCACCUCAAGAGUACUAUGGCAACAUAUAAACUGAAAUCAUUAGACCGUUUCUGAAACCAGUAGUGAAGUAU